rnacentral:rRNA from 1 species
GAUGAACGCUGGCGGCGUGCCUAAUACAUGCAAGUCGAGCGAACAGACGAGGAGCUUGCUCCUCUGACGUUAGCGGCGGACGGGUGAGUAACACGUGGAUAACCUACCUAUAUUACUGGGAUAACUUCGGGAAACCGGAUCUAAUACCGGAUAAUAUAUUGAACCGCAGGGUUCAAUAGUGAAAGACGGUUUUGCUGUCACUUAUAGAUGGAUCCGCGCCGCAUUAGCUAGUUGGUAAGGUAACGGCUUACCAAGGCAACGAUGCGUAGCCGACCUGAGAGGGUGAUCGGCCACACUGGAACUGAGACACGGUCCAGACUCCUACGGGAGGCAGCAGUAGGGAAUCUUCCGCAAUGGGCGAAAGCCUGACGGAGCCACGCCGCGUGAGUGAUGAAGGUCUUCGGAUCGUAAAACUCUGUUAUUAGGGAAGAACAAAUGUGUAAGUAACUAUGCACGUUUUGACGGUACCUAAUCAGAAAGCCACGGCUAACUACGUG